GAGCAGAGUUAUCAAGACUGAAAAAGGCUGCCAAAAUUACUGGGUAGAGUGAGUAACUGGAAUUGAUUAGUAAAUUUGGUGAUGUGGACUCACUUGGCCUAAGCUAUUCCUCUUUUUGGGAGCAUUACAGGCACCAAUCAAGACUUGGAUAUUGAUUACUUAAUUCUUCCUAUAAAAUCCAGGGGCUUCAACUUGAAUUUCAAGGAUGGAUGUAGGUGGUGGGGAUGGGAGGUGUGAAUUCUCUAGGUUGUAUAGUAAAUGUCUAUAAAUGAACACUUUUUUUUCCAGGAGGAGGAGCAUAGAUACGAUGAUUCAAAAAUUCCAACUCCACAUUGACUUACCUCCUCUGCAAAACAACGAGUACCAAAUGGCUGUUUGUGUACAAAGUAGCUAAAAGAAAACCCCUUAAAAUCAAGAAGAUUAGCCCCUGCCUACUGAGAUAUGCAUAAUGUCCCGAGGGAAUGUGAUGUCUUCCAGGAAUUUGAUGUUCUUUAAUGAUGUUCUAAAUGAUGAUUUAAUUUUUCUAAGUGGAUGGUGUCCUAUUUUCAUCCUGCUUGAGCCUAAGAAAGAGAAGUUUUUCGAGCAUCAUCUUGAGGGAGGAGUUUUCUCUGCUGCUGCUUCAUCCUAGCAAGAGAAGCCACGAACUAUGCUAAGAGUAGAUUGGAACAAUUACAUGGUGAGGAGUAGCAAUUUGAAGGAAAAAAAAGGAGACAUCAGACCUGUUGAGUUCUGACUCUGCUCUAAGCCUAAUGCAACUUGAUCUCUUGGUAAUUUCAUUCAGAUACAUAGAUUUCUGGGCCACUUCCAAUUCAACAGAAGAAACUGUGUGUAAGCUGCUUAUUUCUUUCCUUAUAAAUGAUAGGUGAAGAGCUUAAUAAGAAAAUAAACAAAGAUAAAGAAAGUUUCUGUCUCUGGAUAAGUA